UAGUAACGAACAUCGGCUUGCCUUUAU
rnacentral:piRNA from 1 species